rnacentral:rRNA from 1 species
GUAGGGUGCGAGCGUUAAUCGGAAUUACUGGGGCGUAAAGCGUGCGCAGGCGGCUUUGCAAGACAGAGGUGAAAUCCCCCGGGGCUCAACCUGGGGAACUGCCUUUGUGACUGCAAGGCUAGAGUACGGCAGAGGGGGAUGGAAUUCCGCGUGUAGCAGUGAAAUGCGUAGAUAUGCGGAGGAACACCAAUGGCGAAGGCAAUCCCCUGGGCCUGUACUGACGCUCAUGCACGAAAGCGUGGGGAGCAAACAGGAUUAGAUACCCUGGUAGUCCACGCCCUAAGCGAUGUCAACUGGUUGUUGGACGGCUUGCUGUUCAGUAACGAAGCUAACGCGUGAAGUUGACCGCCUGGGGAGUACGGCCGCAAGGUUG